rnacentral:lncRNA from 10 species
GUUCAACUGGAAGUUUCCUUCUCCCUGUGGUCUUUCUCCAAUUCCACUUGCAGCCUUCCCCAAAGGACCUGUCUUGAGACAAAGUCAGAAAUAGCUUCCCUGGGGACUAGGAAUGUCUGCACUGCUUCCCAACUGCUUUCUCUACGCCUGUAUUUCACUUGGCUCUCUAAAUUUAUCUCAGCUGCAGUGUGUCUGGAAUCUAUUCCUUCUGGUGGAUUCGUAGUCUUGCUGACUUCAGGAGUGAAGCCGCAUACCCUCGCAUUUAAGUGAUUUAUUUAAGCCACCUCCUGCCACAAGCAAAGGGAUGGAAGAUCAGUAUACCAGUCAUCAUCUGAUACAAGUAAGGAAAGU